UACGUAGGGCGCGAGCGUUGUCCGGAUUUAUUGGGCGUAAAGAGCUCGUAGGCGGUUUGGCAAGUCGGGUGUGAAAACUCCGGGCUCAACUCGGAGACGCCACUCGAUACUGCUAUGACUCGAGUCCGGUAGGGGAGUGCGGAAUUCCUGGUGUAGCGGUGAAAUGCGCAGAUAUCAGGAGGAACACCGGUGGCGAAGGCGGCACUCUGGGCCGGUACUGACGCUGAGGAGCGAAAGCGUGGGGAGCGAACAGG
rnacentral:rRNA from 1 species